rnacentral:antisense_RNA from 1 species
CUUCAGCGAGCCCAGCCAGAGCGGGGUGUCGCGGCCCUGCCCGUAGGCGGCCAGUAGCGCGCCCGCCUC